rnacentral:rRNA from 1 species
GACGAACGCUGGCGGCGUGCCUAAUACAUGCAAGUAGAACGCUGAAGGAGGAGCUUGCUUCUCUGGAUGAGUUGCGAACGGGUGAGUAACGCGUAGGUAACCUGCCUGGUAGCGGGGGAUAACUAUUGGAAACGAUAGCUAAUACCGCAUAAUAUUGACUAUUGCAUGAUAGUCAGUUGAAAGGUGCAACUGCACCACUACCAGAUGGACCUGCGUUGUAUUAGCUAGUUGGUGGGGUAACGGCUCACCAAGGCGACGAUACAUAGCCGACCUGAGAGGGUGAUCGGCCACACUGGGACUGAGACACGGCCCAGACUCCUACGGGAGGCAGCAGUAGGGAAUCUUCGGCAAUGGACGGAAGUCUGACCGAGCAACGCCGCGUGAGUGAAGAAGGUUUUCGGAUCGUAAAGCUCUGUUGUAAGAGAAGAACGAGUGUGAGAGCGGAAAGCUCACACUGUGACGGUAUCUUACCAGAAAGGGACGGCUAACUACGUG